GUUGGAAUAGCAUAGUUGGUUAGAGCAUGUUGCUGUUAACCACAAGGGUGGAGGUUUAAGCCCUCCUUUUAGCG
rnacentral:tRNA from 1 species